CUCUCAAAGUACGUUUGAACUACAGAGUCAACGAGCAUGGCCGACGCUCUCAUCUCCAGUGUUGUGGAACAGCUGAUCAACAUCCUGAAGCACCAAGCCCAGGAGCUAAAAAGAACUUUGGGUGUGGAGAAGGAGAUCACAAACCUCUCAUCGAAGCUCGAGAAAAUCAGGGAGAUAUUGGAUGAUGCAGAGAAGAGAAGCUUUAAGGAUAAGGGCAUCAAGCUCUGGAUCGAAACUAUAUCCAAGACUUCGCGUACCAAGUGGACGAUGUUCUGGACGAGUGGAGAACCACAAGUCUGAGACAACAGAUCGAGAGCCCCGAGGCAAGUCGCAGCUCUUUCCUGCCUUCACGUUUCCAUUACAAAAGGAAAGCAUUUUCUAAGAGAAGGGAAGAGGAUUGUGAGAAACUGAAAGAUAUUGGAUGGUCUGAAAAUUGCCCAAAAGUGCAAAGGAUUGCCACUUGCUGCUUGCGUCAUGGGAAGCCUGCUACGUUUCAAAUACACAAGAGAUGAUUGGCAAAAUGUUUUAGACAAUAAAAUUUGGGAGUUGGAUGAAAUGGUAACAGACCUCUUCCCUCAUUUGUAUCUGAGCUACAAUGAUUUGACCCCAAAGAUGAAGCAAUGUUUCUCCUACUGUGCUGUCUUUCCCAAAGAUUAUAAAAUUGAGGUAGAUAAGCUCAUCAGAAUUUGGAUGGCACAAAGUUAUGUGACGACGGAAUCAAAAGGUAGGGAGUUAUUUGGGGGUUUAGCAAUGCGCUCUUUCUUCCAAGAUUUGGAGAAAGAUGACAUGGAUUCCAACAUACAUUAUCAUGUCUUGCAAAAUGCAUGACAUAGUGCAUGAUUUUGCCCAGUUUCUGACCAAAAAUGAAUGCUAAUUAUUGACCAGCACGAGGAUAAGGUCGGGAUUAAAAAUCUAAGUCAUCUGUCAUGGCAGAAAACUGGUAAGAAUAUGAAUCUCACUUCCAUUUGUGAUAUUGGAAAACUUCGCAGCUUUUUUGCUGAAGAAUUUUCUCUCGAACAACUUACUCCGGAUUUGUUCAAUAGUCUGAAAUCUGUGAGAGUAUUAAGAUUGCAUGAACUCCCAAAGAAGAUUGGAAAUUUGCUUCAUCUAAGGUACAUUGAUUUAAGUUGGAAUGAUGUACUAGAGGAGUUACCUAAUGCAGUUUGUUCUUUAUAUAACUUGCAAACUUUAGAUCUUGGAGGAUGUACGUGUUUUUCUAGGCUGCCGAAAGGGAUUGGAAAUUUACGUCAACUAAAAUACAUUGAUUUAAGUUGAAGCAAAGUAGAGGAGUUACCUGAUACAAUUCACUCUGUGUCUAAUUUGCAAACUUUAUAUCUUGAUGGAUGUAAGCGAUUUUCUACGAUUGUCCCGAAUGGGAGGAGUGGGAAGACUUCAAACAAGAAGCAACAACAACAACAACAACAACAAUAAUAAUAAUAAUAAUAAUAAUAAUAAUAAUAAUGCCAUGCAUCAGGGAGGUGCAACUAAGAGAUUGCGGAAAACUUAAGACAGUGCCACAUCACAUCUUAAGUAUGCUGGACUUUUUGAAUAUCACUGACUGUCCAAGUCUCAAAGUUAAAUAGAUCGAGUUAAAUAUGUGACACUCCAGAUGCCGAUCAGGUGUCAAAAUGGUGACGUCAUUGUGCUUCCGAGUAAGGGGAGUCUUAUGUACUUGUAACGUUAUGGUUCGACCAACUUGAUCAUUUGAGCAAAAACUAUUAUGUUUAUCUCUUU